rnacentral:rRNA from 1 species
UACGUAGGUGGCAAGCGUUGUCCGGAAUUAUUGGGCGUAAAGCGCGCGCAGGUGGUUUAAUAAGUCUGAUGUGAAAGCCCACGGCUCAACCGUGGAGGGUCAUUGGAAACUGUUAAACUUGAGUGCAGGAGAGAAAAGUGGAAUUCCUAGUGUAGCGGUGAAAUGCGUAGAGAUUAGGAGGAACACCAGUGGCGAAGGCGGCUUUUUGGCCUGUAACUGACACUGAGGCGCGAAAGCGUGGGGAGCAAACAGGAUUAGAUACCCUGGUAGUCCACGCCGUAAACGAUGAGUGCUAAGUGUUGGUCUCAUAAGAGAUCAGUGCUGCAGCUAACGCAUUAAGCACUCCGCCUGGGGAGUACGACCGCAAGGUUGAAACUCAAAGGAAU